UACGUAGGGGGCGAGCGUUGUCCGAAGUUACUGGGCGUAAAGCGCGCGUAGGCGGGCUGUUAAGUGAGAGGUGAAAGCUGGGGCUCAACUCCAGCAGUGCCUCUCAUACUGGCAGGUCUUGAGGGCGGUAGAGGAGAAGUGGAAUGGCUGGUGUAGCGGUGAAAUGCGUAGAUAUCAGUCGGAACACCAGUGGCGAAGGCGGCUCACUGGCCCGAUACUGACGCUGAGGCACGAAAGCGUGGGGAGCAAACAGG
rnacentral:rRNA from 1 species